CUUGCUGUCAUGAGGCGGGAUCAGCCCCUCAAGCCUGCAGGGCUGAAAUGCCUUGGAAAACCUCCUCCCCAGGCUGUGAUGUUUGCCUCUGAAGUUUAUUUUCUCACAGGCUAUUUCUUAUGGAUUAGCUUCUGGCCCUUGUCUAAAAACAUUCCCGCUCCUGUCUGACACCCCCUGCUGGUUCCUAGGUCAUGCCUUGUGCCUAGCUAGUGAGGCUCCACAGGGCUCUUUAGCCUCCCUCCCCGUGGUGCUGCACUUGUGUAGAGAUUGACCAUGGGUGUGCUUCUUGUGGGGUGGGUAGAUUCUAAGUCCUGAAGAAAUUGAGAAGUAUGUUGCUGAAAUCGAGAAGGAGAAAGAAGAAAAUGAAAAGAAGAAGCAGAAGAAAGCAUCUUGAGGGCAGCGGUCAGAGCAGCUUUGAGCCUCCAUCCGAGCAAACGGGUGCUGUGGGCCUUGUGGCCAUUUGUCGGAGUCCAAUAAACUACUACGUUUUUUAACUCUG
rnacentral:lncRNA from 1 species